CUGACCUGGAUACUGGGCUGUGACCUGUGCCUGGGCCCUGACUGGGUGCCUGGGUCCUGACCUGGACCCUAUGCCUCAGAAACCCUCAGGAAAACCCUAAAUGUUCACCUGGCGGACAGGAGUCCCUGCUUCCCCAGAGCCACGUCGAUCUGCAGAACCUGCUUGUGGCUGAGGAUGCAGAUUGCCACAAAAGGCCUAGGAGUAAAAAUUGGAGCCAGGCCGUGUCCAAGAAGAUUAUCCCAGAGAAAAGCAUCAUAGGAGCAACAAGUGUCCUGGAGCUGCCAGUUGCCAGUCCAUGACUCCAAGGAUGCUGCGGCGCUGCCAAAGGUGAAGAGGCUCAGAGAGCUGCCAGACAAGAUCCUCCAGAAGAAAAGGCAGAGCUACGACAACAGGGAGUCGAAGUAAGUAAUGAACAUGGACUCAAGACUUCUGCUGCUGUAGCUGAAGAAACAGAUUUUAGAAGAAAAGACCAACCUUGUGACUCAUCGUUCUGGAAGAAGCCCACCACAUCCGUUCCUCACGGCAUGUGGAUUGUUCUUCCCACAGGCUCAGUGUCAUUAUCAGAGUUGUUAUUUCGUAGAUCCUUGUAGAUGAUAUUGAAUUUUUAAAUAAUUUACUUAUAUGGACACUUGUAAAUUGUAAAUUCUUUUCUUUUUUAAUUUCAAUAUUUUUACAAUGUUUAGUGUUGAGGCAUGAAAAGAAAACAACCUGCGAAAACUAGAAGGAGGGUGAGUCUUUCUCAAAAAACCAGUAUUUUUUGACUGAGAGGAUCAUACUGUGCCUGGACAAGAUUGUGUCAGUAAACAGUAAUUUUGACUCCAAAAUAUGCAGCAGGAGUCAAACCCUAGCAGUGUACAAGUGAUCAUUUCAAUGCUGUAUUUAGAAUUCACAAUGUCCACUCCUUGCAUUGUUUGAACUGCUGAAUGCAGUAGGGACUGAUCUAUGACUCUUCUUACCCAGAUGUGCAAACACUAAUGUACUCACCUAAUUAUUGCAAUUCAUAUAUGACUUCUCCUUUCCUAAUCUCCUUUGCCCCAAGUCCAUCACAAGUAGCUGUCUGUGAUUUGAAGAGAAGUAGGAAAACUGCUCAAUGGAUGUCGGUCUCUAGGAACCUAGGGCUGUUUAGAUGUCUGUGAUUUGCACAUUUUUAAACUCCUUUCCUCCCUUCUCCCAGGAAGAAGCCAAGCAUGAAUGUACAGUACAAGGCACCAACUGAAGCCUUAGAAGCCUCUGGGGACUAAUUUUUCUCUUAAUUUAAAAGUAAACAAGCAAAACUGAAAAAUGUGUGUAAAAAUUUGUAAAGUUAUUUGUAAAUACUUCUAGACAAAGAACAUGUAUGUAACUGUGGUAUUUUGUUUUCUAUUGUGUCACCACUAGCAUAAAGUGAUACACAAAGCUA